AACCUCCGCAAUGUGAGAAAUCGCGACGGGGGGAUCCCAAGUGCCAUUCUUAACGGGAUGGCUUUUCAUUAGUGUAAAGAGCUUUUGGAAUAAGGGCUGGGCAAGACCGGUGCCAGCCGCCGCGGUAACACCGGCAGCUCUAGUGGUAGCAAUUUUUAUUGGGCCUAAAGCGUCCGUAGCCGGUUUAAUAAGUCUCUGGUGAAAUCCUGUAGCUUAACUGUGGGAAUUGCUGGAGAUACUAUUAGACUUGAGACCGGGAGUGGUUAGAGGUACUCCCAGGGUAGAGGUGAAAUUCUGUAAUCCUGGGAGGACCGCCUGUUGCGAAGGCGUCUAACUGGAACGGUUCUGACGGUGAGGGACGAAAGUUAGGGGCGCGAACCGGAUUAGAUACCCGGGUAGUCCUAACUGUAAACGAUGCGGACUUGGUGUUGGGGUGGCUUUGAGCUGCUUCAGUGCCGAAGGGAAGCUGUUAAGUCCGCCGCCUGGGAAGUACGGUCGCAAGACUGAAACUUAAAGGAAUU
rnacentral:rRNA from 1 species